rnacentral:rRNA from 1 species
AUUGAACGCUGGCGGCAUGCUUUACACAUGCAAGUCGAACGGUAACAGGCCGCAAGGUGCUGACGAGUGGCGAACGGGUGAGUAAUGUAUCGGAACGUGCCCAGUCGUGGGGGAUAACGCAGCGAAAGCUGUGCUAAUACCGCAUACGAUCUAUGGAUGAAAGCGGGGGACCGUAAGGCCUCGCGCGAUUGGAGCGGCCGAUAUCAGAUUAGGUAGUUGGUGGGGUAAAGGCUCACCAAGCCAACGAUCUGUAGCUGGUCUGAGAGGACGACCAGCCACACUGGGACUGAGACACGGCCCAGACUCCUACGGGAGGCAGCAGUGGGGAAUUUUGGACAAUGGGCGCAAGCCUGAUCCAGCAAUGCCGCGUGCAGGACGAAGGCC